AGAGUUUGAUUCUGGCUCAUAUUGAACGCUGGCGGCAGGCCUAGCACGUGCGAGUCCCACGCAGGGAUGCACACUGGGAGUUUACUUCUGAGGUGGCUAGCGGGGGACGGGUGAGUAAUGCCUAGGGAUCUGCCCACUCUAUGGGGAUGACAUUUGGAUACGACUGCUCAUACCGCAUCACGCCCUCACUGGGGGAAAGGAGGGGACCUUCGGGCCUUCCUCGAUUGGAUGAACCUAGGUGGGAUUAGCUAGUUGGUGUAUGGUAAUGGCUCACCAUCGCGACUGAUCCCUAUCUGUUCUGACAGGAUGAUCAGCCCCACUGGACACUGACACACUGCCCACACUCCUACGGGAGGCAGCAGUGGGGAAUAUUGCACUUUCGGGGGAAACCCUGAUGCAGCCAUGCCAUCGUGUGUGAAGAACGCCUUCGGAUUGUAAAGCACUUUCAGUAAGGAGGAAAGGGUGUAGCUUAGUACCCUAUGUCUGUGACGUUACCUACGCAACAAUGACUGGCUAACUCCUUGCCUGCAUCCGCGGAAUUACUGAGGGUCCUAGCGUUACUCCGAAUUACUGGACUUACUGCGUGCGCAGGCGGUUUGUUAAUCGAUUAUGUGAAAGCCCUGCGCUCGACCUAGGAAUAGCAUUUCGAACUGCUCGAACUAGAUAUCUGUAGAGGGCGGUAUAAUUCACACGUGUAUCGGUGAAAUGCUUAGAGAUCUGGAGGAAUACCGGUGGUGAAGGUGGCCCUCUGUACAAAGACUGACGUUCAUGCAGGAAAGUGUGGGGAGCAAACAGGAUUAGAUACCAUGGUAGUUCACGCAGUAAUCGAUGUAUACUCGGAGUUUGGUGUCUUGAACACUGGGCUCUCCAGGUUACGCAUUAAGUAGUCCGCAUGGGGAGUACGGCCGCAAGGUUAAAACUCAAAUGAAUUGACGGGGGCCCGCACAAGCGGUGGAGCAUGUGGUGUAAUUCGAUGCAACGCUAAGAACCUUACUUACUCUUGACAUCCACGGAAUUGGCUAGAGAUAGCUUAGUGCGUUCGGGAACUGUGAGACAGGUGGUGCAUGGCUGUAGUCAGUUCGUGUUGUGAAAUGUUGGGUUAAGUCCCGCAACGAGCGCAACCCCUAUCGUUAUUUGCCAGCAGGUAAUGGUGGGAACUGUAGGGAGACUCCCGGUGAUAAACCGGAGGAAUGUGGGGAGGAUGUCAUGUCAUCAUGGCCCUUUCGAGUAGGGCUACACACGUGCUACAAUGGCGAGUACAGAGGGUUGCAAAGCCGCGAGGUGGAGCUAAUCUCACAUAGUCUCAGUCGUAGUCGGGAUUGGAGUCUGCAACUUGUACUCCAUGAAGUCGGAAUCGUUAGUAACUCUUGGAUCAGAAUGUCAUGGUGAUUACGUUCCCGGACCUUGUACACAUCCGUCCGUCAUACCAUGGGAGUGGGCUGCAAAAGAAGUUGGCUAGCUUAACCUUGCGGGGGGGCGCUCACCACUUCGUGGUUCAUGACUGGGGAGAAGUCGUAACAAGGUAACCG
rnacentral:rRNA from 1 species